UAUAAAUCCAGGCCGAUACUAACGACAGGCAGUUCUGAUCUUCACGACUCAACCGAAAGCUACAAGAUGAACAAGUGUCUCGCCCUGAUCCUGAUCCCAUGUCUAGUGGCCUUUGUUGUGGCCCAGUACCCCGGAUAUGGUACCCCCGGGUACGGGAUGGCAGGCUACGGUUCCGGUAGCGGUCUGAGUAACUACUACUACAACUACGGAAACCAACAACAGAAACAGAGCUCCAAUUUCGCUCUCUUGAUCUCUGGUCUCCUGCUGUUGUUCGCCUUCAACAUAACAGGAACCCUGACUGGUUAGACGUAACCCAGGGAGGUGGAGAUCGGCCGGGUACUCAUAAAAAUUACGAUUUACCAUGGCGACCAGAUUUAAUUGUGAUAGAUUGUGCGGUGUGUUUAAGGGUUGUUAUUGCUUUUGUUAUGUAACUAUUCAUUAAACUGCUUGAUUUUCGUCAA